UGUUGCACCACCCAUCUUCCAUCCCACUGGUCGUGUCCCACCACCUGUGUCCCACCACCCCUAUUCCAUCCCACAACCCGUGUCCUGCCACCAGUUGUGUCCCCCCAACACUGGUCUUGUCCCACCACCUGUAUUCCAUCCCAUCACCUGUAUCUGGACACCAGUUGUGUCCCACUACUCUUAUUCCAUCCCACCAGUCCUGCCACCAGUUGUGUCCCACCACCCAUCUCUGGACACCAGUCGUGUCCCACCACUGAUCCUGUCCCACCACCCAUAUUCCAUCCCACUGGUCAUGUCCUGCCACCUGUAUCCCGCCACUGGUCAUGUCCCAUCACCCAUGUUCCAUCCCAUGACCCCGUGUCCCACCACCAGUCAUGUCCCACCACCCAUAUUCCAUCCCACCACCGGUUCUGUCCCACCACCCAUAUUCCAUCCCACUGGUCGUGUCCCAUCACCUGUGUCCCACCACCUGUAUCCCGCCACCAGUCGUGUCCCACCACCCAUAUUCCAUCCCACCACCGGUUGUGUCCCACCACCCAUAUUCCAUCCCACUGGUCAUGUCCCACCACCUGUGUCCUGCCACCGGUUGUGUCCCACCACCCAUAUUCCAUCCCACCACCUGUAUCUGGACACUGGUCGUGUCCCACCACCCAUAUUCCAUCCCACCAGUCGUGUCCCAUCACCCAUAUUCCAUCCCAUGACCCAUGUUCCACCACAGGUUGUGUCCCCCCAACACCAGUCUUGUUCCACCACCUGUAUCUGGACACCGGUUGUGUCCCACUACUCGUAUUCCAUCCCACCAGUUGUCCCCCACCACCCGUAUUCCAUCCCACCACCUGUAUCUGGACAUUGGUCGUGUCCCACCACCCAUAUUCCAUCCCACCACCGGUCAUGUCCCACCACCCAUAUUCCAUCCCAACACCCAUAUUCCAUCCCACCAGUUGUGUCCCACGACCUGUAUUCCAUCCCACCACCUGUGUCCCACCACCCAUAUCUGGACAUUGGUCGUGUCCCACCACCAUAUUUCAUCCCAGCACCCAUAUUGCAUCCCACUGCUCAUGUCCCACCACCUGUAUUCCAUCACACCACCCGUAUCUGGACACUGGUUGUGUCCCACCACCCAUAUUCCAUCCCACCAGUCA
rnacentral:lncRNA from 1 species